UAUGAACGCUGGCGGCGUGCCUAAUACAUGCAAGUCGAGCGAACAGACGAGGAGCUUGCUCCUUCGACGUUAGCGGCGGACGGGUGAGUAACACGUAGGUAACCUACCUAUAAGACUGGGAUAACUUCGGGAAACCGGAGCUAAUACCGGAUAAUAUUUCGAACCGCAUGGUUCGAUAGUGAAAGAUGGCUUUGCUAUCACUUAUAGAUGGACCUGCGCCGUAUUAGCUAGUUGGUAAGGUAACGGCUUACCAAGGCAACGAUACGUAGCCGACCUGAGAGGGUGAUCGGCCACACUGGAACUGAGACACGGUCCAGACUCCUACGGGAGGCAGCAGUAGGGAAUCUUCCGCAAUGGGCGAAAGCCUGACGGAGCAACGCCGCGUGAGUGAUGAAGGUCUUCGGAUCGUAAAACUCUGUUAUUAGGGAAGAACAAACGUGUAAGUAACUGUGCACGUCUUGACGGUACCUAAUCAGAAAGCCACGGCUAACUACGUG
rnacentral:rRNA from 1 species